GAUGAAGAACGUAGCGAAAUGCGAUACGUAAUGUGAAUUGCAAAUUCAGUGAAUCAUCGAAUCUUUGAACGCACAUUGCGCCCGCCAGUAUUCUGGCGGGCAUGCCUGUCUGAGCGUCAUUUCAACCCUCAAGCAACUUCUGCUUGGUGUUGGGGAUCGGCCGUCAAACGCCGCCCCCGAAAUCUAUUGGCGAUCUCGCUGUAGCUUCCUAUGCGUAGUAGUAACAUCUCGCAUCUGGAGAGCGGCGCGGUCAUGCCGUAAAACACCCAACUUCUCAGGUUGACCUCAGAUCAGGUAGGAAUACCCGCUGAACUUAAGCAUAUCAAUAAGCGGAGGA
rnacentral:misc_RNA from 1 species